CAUGCAAGUCGAACGGCAGCACGGGGGCAACCCUGGUGGCGAGUGGCGAACGGGUGAGUAAUACACCGGAACGUGCCCAGUCGUGGGGGAUAACUACGCGAAAGCGUAGCUAAUACCGCAUACGAUCUACGGAUGAAAGCAGGGGACCGCAAGGCCUUGUGCUCCUGGAGCGGCCGAUAUCUGAUUAGCUAGUUGGUGAGGUAAAGGCUCACCAAGGCGACGAUCAGUAGCUGGUCUGAGAGGACGACCAGCCACACUGGAACUGAGACACGGUCCAGACUCCUACGGGAGGCAGCAGUGGGGAAUUUUGGACAAUGGGCGCAAGCCUGAUCCAGCAAUGCCGCGUGAGUGAAGAAGGCCUUCGGGUUGUAAAGCUCUUUUGUCAGGGAAGAAACGGCUGCGGCUAAUAUCCGCGGCUAAUGACGGUACCUGAAGAAUAAGCACCGGCUAACUACGUGCCAGCAGCCGCGGUAAUACGUAGGGUGCAAGCGUUAAUCGGAAUUACUGGGCGUAAAGCGUGCGCAGGCGGUUUUGUAAGUCUGACGUGAAAUCCCCGGGCUUAACCUGGGAAUUGCGUUGGAGACUGCAANGCUAGAAUCUGGCAGAGGGGGGUAGAAUUCCACGUGUAGCAGUGAAAUGCGUAGAGAUGUGGAGGAACACCGAU
rnacentral:rRNA from 1 species